ACAAAGAUCAAUCAGAAAUGAGUACUUACAACUUUUUGCAUUUUUAAAUAAGUAAUGCAAGUGUUGGAGUGAAAAUCUGUAAAAAAAACAAACAAAAAAAAACUACUAAUCACAACGCCAGGUCAUGAAGAAACAAGCCAAGACAUGUUACCUGUAACAGCCAACAUGUCCUGUUACCUCAGCAGGUAUUGGCUCCACUACUGAAUGUCAUUCAAUUUGCAUUGAUUUUGGCGCCCCCUGUUGAUAAUGUGAUACCUACUAAAAAUCUUCGCUUUACUGUGCAUCUGGCAGUUUCAUCAACUACAAUCCCUUGACAGCUGAUAGGGAAUCCACAAUAUCACAACUUACACCCUACAGGCUUUAAAGGGCGCUGGACAGGAGAAACCCUGCACACUAGAGCUCCAGCCUCUGGCAUUGAAAUGGACCUCGGUGCCCCCCUUAUGACCGUCUGAUCUUCAAAGAGUCUCUCUUCAUGUCACAGCACAAAGGGCACUCCACUCACCUCCCGUAUCCUGAGUGCCGUCACUGCUAGGGGCCAGCUUCUGUAUCCAUCCACAGGGCCAGAAGUGCACACUCCAUGGCAAGCUGGGAGGACUGUCUAUGCACGCGGCAAUCCGAUAGAUUUCCAGCCAGACUUCCUGGGCCAAGUGGCACCUUUGCUACUUGAAAGGAAUCCAGAACAUCUCUUUCUGAGGCACAGUUAGCCAGCACAGGCAGAAUGGAGUUCCAGGAAAAGACCAAAUGAGGAGAUAAGAUAGAAGCUGUUGUCAGCAGAAAAGCUUUCAAAUCCCACUGUACACUACCUGCUCAGCACCAAACUGCAGACAGACAAAGUGAGCGUCAAGCCAGUGAACCAUGUGGAAAAGUGUUUUUCUCAGGAGUUGUUGGAAAGAGAAAUGGAGCCUGAAAGAGAAGGAAGCCUGCAUCCAUAUCUGUUCAUUUUAACAUUAAAGUCUGGAUUCGAA